UCUGGGCUGUAACUGACACUGAGGAGCGAAAGCAUGGGGAGCGAACAGGAUUAGAUACCCUGGUAGUCCAUGCCGUAAACGUUGGGCACUAGGUGUGGGGGACAUUCCACGUUCUCCGCGCCGUAGCUAACGCAUUAAGUGCCCCGCCUGGGGAGUACGGUCGCAAGGCUAAAACUCAAAGGAAUUGACGGGGGCCCGCACAAGCGGCGGAGCAUGCGGAUUAAUUCGAUGCAACGCGAAGAACCUUACCAAGGCUUGACAUACACUGGACCGUUCUGGAAACAGUUCUUCUCUUUGGAGCUGGUGUACAGGUGGUGCAUGGUUGUCGUCAGCUCGUGUCGUGAGAUGUUGGGUUAAGUCCCGCAACGAGCGCAACCCUCGUUCUAUGUUGCCAGCACGUGAUGGUGGGAACUCAUAGGAGACUGCCGGGGUCAACUCGGAGGAAGGUGGGGAUGACGUCAAAUCAUCAUGCCCUUUAUGUCUUGGGCUUCACGCAUGCUACAAUGGCUGGUACAGAGAGAGGCGAACCCGUGAGGGUAAGCGAAUCCCUUAAAGCCAGUCUCAGUUCGGAUCGUAGUCUGCAAUUCGACUACGUGAAGUCGGAGUCGCUAGUAAUCGCAGAUCAGCAACGCUGCGGUGAAUACGUUCCCGGGCCUUGUACACACCGCCCGUCAAGUCACGAAAGUCGGUAACACCCGAAGCCGGUGUCCCAACCCCUUGUGGGAGGGGGCCGUCUAAGGUGGGACUGGUGAUUGG
rnacentral:rRNA from 1 species